ACAAAUUAAUAAAGCCAAGUCUGGAGCGAGACCAAAAGAUGAAUGGACUGUUACUAAAUAAAAUUUUCAAGGACAAAACUGUGUACCUUCGUCCAUCUUUACAACUGCUGGUCGUUCCUGCAAAUGCAAAGAAGAACAGAGGUACUCUGUCAAAUAAUGAUGAUGAUGAUAUUGAAAUAGAUUUGACUGAUUCCAGUCCACCAAUGAACAGCCUGAAUGUAACAGUUCUUCAGGUCAUUGAGGAUGCUCCUUCAGAACUCAUAGAUGCUCCGUAUUCGACAGCAGGUUCAGAUGGGCCUCUUAUCAUAACAGAAGAAGAAAAUGCCACAGUUUCCAGGGUUCUUGAUUGUCCAAGUGAAUGGCAGUAUGCUGCUUUAUUUGUUGAUAAAGAGCUCA